rnacentral:rRNA from 1 species
AGAGCGAACGCUGGCGGCAUGCUUAACACAUGCAAGUCGCACGGUUGGGGGGCAACUUCCGGCAGUGGCGGACGGGUGAGUAACACGUGACCAACCUACCCUUUAGUGGGGGAUAACUAGCCGAAAGGUUAGCUAAUACCGCAUGAAACGUGCUGUGGCAUCACAGAACGUUAAAAGAAGAAAUUCGCUUAAGGACGGGGUCGCGUCCCAUUAGCUAGUUGGUGGGGUAACGCCUACCAAGGCACCGAUGGGUAGCUGGUUUGAGAGAGCGACCAGCCACACUGGAACUGAGAUACGGUCCAGACUCCUACGGGAGGCAGCAGUGAGGAAUUUUCCGCAAUGGGCGAAAGCCUGACGGAGCGACGCCGCGUGUGGGAAGAAGGCCUUCGGGUCGUAAACCACUGUCGAAGGGGACUAUAAUGAAGGUACCCUUGGAGGAAGCCCGGCUAACUACGCGCCAGCAGCCGC